rnacentral:lncRNA from 1 species
CUCUAAAUCUAAGAGUGCUCGAUCAAUAGAAUUGUCUCCUACCACAUAAGAGAUGGUGGGAGAACCAGGAUCCUUGAACUUAGAAGGAAUUUUGUGUUGGAGAAUGGAGCUCACUUGUUCAGUUAGGAGGACCAUUUUAGGCACAUGUGUCCUAGAUUUUCUCUUUUGGGUACAAAGGUCCUUGAGAAAUUUAGCAUAGGACGGGACUUGUUUUAUGCAUCAAGGAACGAGAGGUUGAUUUUGAUUGUUUAAAAACCUCCAUUAUUUCUUCUAGUGAAGUUCCUCCAUAUCAAGGACGAUGAAAUCGAUUGGGAAAUAAAAUUUGUCCACCUUGACUAGAAUGUCUUCAAUUGUCCCUUGUGGUUUCUUCACAGAUCUAUCAGCCAAUUGCAGAGACACUGAAGUAAGCUUCAAUUCACCAAAUCCAAAUUUCUCAUAAACCAAGUAAGGAAGAAGAUUCACACUUGUCUGUAAAUCUAAGAGUGCUCGAUCAAUAGAAUUAUCUCCUACCACACAAGAGAUGGUGGGAGAACCAGGAUUCUUGAACUUAGAAAGAAUUUUGUGUUGGAGAAUGGAGCUCACUUGUUUAGUUAGGAGGACCAUUUUAGGCACAUGUGUCCUAGAUUUUCUCUUUUGGGUACAAAGGUCCUUAAGAAAUUUUAGCAUAGGACGGGACUUGUUUUAUGCAUCAAGGAACGGAGGUUGAUUUUGACUUGUUUAAAAACCUCCAUUAUUUCUUCUAGUGAAGUUCCUUUCGUGCCAAAGGGAGAAGGUUCAUUUAGACAUUGAGGGAAAGGGGCCUUCAGUGUAUCAGGUGUGGCCGAAAAUAGACUAGAUGAAGAAGAAGGGUUUGGAUUCUCUUUAGACACAUUCAUACCCUUGUCUUCACUUUCCUUAUGCUUUCUUUUUCCAACCUCAUUAUCCACUACACGUCCGCUUCUUAGGGUAGUCAUGGCGUUAGCUUGCUCAUGAUGAAUAUCAUUUGGGUGAGUCUCUUGAGCCAUAUAUUGCCCCCUAGGAUUACUCAUUGGUUGGCUUGGAAGCUUUCCUUCCUCUUUCCUAUUUAGUGCAUUAGCUAGUUGCCUCAUUUGGAUUUCUUGUUUGGCAAUAUAUUGAGUAUGAGAGUACAACAAUUGUAUAUUGGCUUCUAGUCCUUGAAGGGCGGUCAACACUUUCUCCUCAAAAGCCAUAUCUCUUUGGGGUGGUGGAGGGUAUGUUGAAAUUGUGGAUAGUGAGUAGAAGAACGGUAGGGAUGAACAUUCUGGAAGGACUGAAAAUUUUGGAAAUGAGGUUGGGAAGUACUGAAAAUAUGCUGCUUCUAAAAGAAUUUUGUUGGUUGCGCCAUCCCGGAUUAGAAGUGUUG